GCGCUCCCUUCGGCAGCACAUAUACUAAAAUUGGAAUGAUACAGAGAUUAGCAUGGCCCCUGCGCAAGAAUGACACGCAAAUUCAUGAAGCAUUCCACAUAAAA
ensembl:snRNA U6 U6 spliceosomal RNA